rnacentral:rRNA from 1 species
UGGGGAAUAUUGCACAAUGGGCGCAAGCCUGAUGCAGCCAUGCCGCGUGUAUGAAGAAGGCCUUCGGGUUGUAAAGUACUUUCAGCGGGGAGGAAGGCGAUAAGGUUAAUAACCUUGUCGAUUGACGUUACCCGCAGAAGAAGCACCGGCUAACUCCGUGCCAGCAGCCGCGGUAAUACGGAGGGUGCAAGCGUUAAUCGGAAUUACUGGGCGUAAAGCGCACGCAGGCGGUCUGUCAAGUCGGAUGUGAAAUCCCCGGGCUCAACCUGGGAACUGCAUUCGAAACUGUCAGGCUAGAGUCUUGUAGAGGGGGGUAGAAUUCCAGGUGUAGCGGUGAAAUGCGUAGAGAUCUGGAGGAAUACCGGUGGCGAAGGCGGCCCCCUGGACAAAGACUGACGCUCAGGUGCGAAAGCGUGGGGAGCAAACA